rnacentral:rRNA from 1 species
AUUGAACGCUGGCGGCAGGCCUAACACAUGCAAGUCGAACGAGUGGCGGACGGGUGAGUAAUGUCUGGGAAUCUGUCUGAUAGAGGGGGAUAACUACUGGAAACGGUAGCUAAUACCGCAUACUAUCGGAUGUGCCCAGAUGGGAUUAGCUUGUUGGUGGGGUAACGGCUCACCAAGGCGACGAUCCCUAGCUGGUCUGAGAGGAUGACCAGCCACACGGGAACUGAGACACGGCCCAGACUACUACGGGAGGCAGCAGUGGGGAAUAUUGCACAAUGGGGGCAAGCCUGAUGCAGCCAUGCCGCGUGUAUGAAGAAGGCCUUAGGGUUGUAAAGUAUUGUCAGCGGGGAGGCGUUACCCGCAGAAGAAGCACCGGAUAACUCCGUGCCAGCAGCCGCGGUAAUUC